AUCUUAUGAAUAUUCACUUGUUGAAUUUACAUUUUGUUUUUCAUCUCGGAGCUUCUAGAACAGAGCCUUACACAGAGGACAGCCUUCCCAUCUGUCUGAAUAAACUCUGAUGGAAAACAUUUUGUGAAAACAGUACCUUGUUGUUUUGUGUGUCCAUAGUCUUUGGUUGGUUUCUUUUGGAACACUUUGAAAGUCCAGCCUUUGUCACAUGCAAGCUCUAAUAAUCUAGGACUUGAGUAGAAUUUUGAUCUUCUGUUCAUCCUUGAAUGUGUUUACAGUGAUGGAGAUGAAAGUGUAACUGAUAAUGUAAUUUGACCUUGGGAGCCUGAGGCUAUUUGAGUAGCUGCUCUCAAUGAGUUCUUGAUAGACCUGGGAAAGAGCAAAUGCAUUUAAUGUAUGCUUGUCAGGUGUCUGGAGUGGAUGGUCUGGAACUGCAGAGAGGAUCAUCCUUCAGAAUGGAGUGUUAUCACUGGAGCUUAUGUGGGCACCCUCUUCUCCAUGUCGACAUUUCAGCCGCAGAUGUCAUGCUUCAUGAUCUUGUUGAGAGCAUUAGCAAUUGCAGUUGGUCCCCUGCUUUCAUAUACACUGAAAUCAUUUUCAAAAGAAUGAAAGAUAUAAAUAAGGGUAUGCGUUCUUUACAACCGCCCUUUCCCCCAGCCCCUGGAAUGCUUGAUUGCUUCUAGACAGAGGAUUUGUCGAGUUGUGUUAUUUUGUUCUCAUUUACUUUCUUUUCCAGUUAUGUAUCAAGUUAUUUCCUAAUAUGGUUUCAUAUGAUGGCUAAUGGUACAGAAUUGAUGCAAUUGCUCCAAAAAAGGCUUUUAGCCAGUAGAUUCUAAUUAAAGCAACUUUUUUUUUUUUUUCCAGAGGAGAAAAAAAAAGUCCUUCCAGGAGCCCACUUUCUUUGUAUCAGAUGAAUAUAUAUGCAGUAAUUUGCCAGCUUAUUGGAGACAGAAGCUGAAAUAUGCUCGGAGCAGUUAUAUUCAACCAUAUGGAACUCUGACUGGGAGAGCCUUGCAAUGGGACAGCAGCCAGAAGGGCACCUGAGCAGCAGAGCACUUUGGUAGCAGUGAGAAAAGUCAAUACGGGUUCUGAUAGCGCAGCAGCACUCAGCAGGCUCAUCGCUUUCUCUGACCUACAGUGCUGACAUCCAAACUGAAAGGACUACAUUUAAGUGUCAAAGAGAUUCCCAGCCAUCUGGUGCCUCACCAGCUGCUCUCGGUGCAGGAUGAAACUUAUCUCAAUUCAGGAACCCAGGCCUCGGGCAGUGGGGUGGAAGGAGCAUCGCUGGCCUCGCAAGUGCUGUCUGCAGGAUGCGCGCCCAGACUGGCUUCUGUGAUGUCCUUCCUUCAACAACCCGUGCACUUGGGCACCUGGACAGCAGUGAGUAGCAGCCUUGCUGAUGGAAAGAAGAUGCUGUCUGGAUGACUGGUUCCCAUGGAAAGCAAGGAAGCUCCCCGGCCGUGGCUGUUGUGCAUGUUGGAGGAGAUGCAUCACUGAAGGAUUAAAAUACAACUGCUGUGAGCUGGGAAGCAAAGCAGGCCAGGACUAGAAGCUGCCGUGGAAGGAGAGGUAGGACAUUAAUGGAUGCUGUACAUGCAAUGAGACUGGUUAGAAUGCACAGCCUCUGUACUGAGUUUGAAUAACUGAUGCUGAGUGGCCGUUUCUUUCAGUACGUUAAAAAUACUCCAGUUUCUCCAUAAAGUCAAGAAAUGCAACUGCAGUUGCCUAGCACAGAUGUGGAUGACUGUCCUCCCUAAGAGCCCUGGUAGGAG
ensembl:lncRNA